GCCUUAGUGGCGCACGGGUGAGUAGCGCGUGGGAACCUGCCCUGGAGUGGGGGAUAACCGAGGGAAACUUCGGCUAAUACCGCAUGCGCCCGGAGCAAUCCGGGGAAAGAUUUAUCGCUCUAGGAGGGGCCCGCGUCGGAUUAGCUAGUUGGUGGGGUAACGGCCUACCAAGGCAUCGAUCCGUAGCUGGUCUGAGAGGAUGAUCAGCCACACUGGGACUGAGACACGGCCCAGACUCCUACGGGAGGCAGCAGUAGGGAAUAUUGGACAAUGGGCGAAAGCCUGAUCCAGCAAUGCCGCGUGAGUGAGGAAGGCCUUAGGGUUGUAAAGCUCUUUCGGCGGGGACGAUGAUGACGGUACCCGCAGAAGAAGCCCCGGCUAACUUCGUGCCAGCAGCCGCGGUAAUACGAAGGGGGCAAGCGUUGUUCGGAAUUACUGGGCGUAAAGGGCGCGUAGGCGGCCAUCUUUGUCAGGCGUGAAAGCCCCGGGCUCAACCUGGGAAUUGCGCUUGGGACGGGGUGGCUUGAGUUCGGGAGAGGAGAGUGGAAUUCCCAGUGUAGAGGUGAAAUUCGUAGAUAUUGGGAAGAACACCGGUGGCGAAGGCGGCUCUCUGGACCGAUACUGACGCUGAGGCGCGAAAGCGUGGGGAGCAAACAGGAUUAGAUACCCUGGUAGUCCACGCUGUAAACGAUGUGUGCUAGACGUUGGGAAGCCUAGCUUCUCGGUGUCGCAGCUAACGCGGUAAGCACACCGCCUGGGGAGUACGGCCGCAAGGUUAAAACUCAAAGGAAUUGAC
rnacentral:rRNA from 1 species